GGUGGCAUAGUCUAGUGGUAUGAUGUCUGCUUCGGGUGCAGGAGAGCCCAGGUUCGAGUCCUGGUGUCACCC
rfam:Pseudoloma neurophilia strain MK1 NODE_299, whole genome shotgun sequence.